AAACACUUGAGUUUGGAGCAAUAAUAAUUCUUAAGAGCAUUCACUCAAAUUUCUCCCUCUCUUGCGUUCUUAUUUUCUGUGGCUUGUUCUUAUUUUAUUCUUCGUUCAUCUUCGUUUCUUUUUAAGUUACUUUCAUUUGAGUUGAAUUUUGGUGGAGAAAUUUCGUUGAAUCUUCAUAUUGUGAAAGUUAGGCUGACUUAAGUAUUUUUUUAACCUUUUUUUUAUUUAUCCAUUUAAUUGUUUAAUCAUUUAUUAUUCUUUUACUUUUAUUCGUUUAUUCGUUUAUUUAUCCAUCAACUUUCUUAUUUACAUAUUGUUCAUUCAUUUAACCAUUUUUAUCAUUCUUUUAUUUUCUUCCAUUAAUUAUAUACUUUAUUUGUUUUUAAUAUUAUGUCACACAUGUUAUUUAUUUUUUAAAAAUU
rnacentral:lncRNA from 1 species